rnacentral:guide_RNA from 1 species
AUAAUACAACAAGAUACGUCAUAAAUAAGAG